rnacentral:rRNA from 1 species
GUUUUACCUUGACGAAUUGUAGUUUAAAGAAGUGUUUUCUGUUGAAGUUUUGGUAGAAGUUCUUUGGAAUAGGACAUCAUAGAGGGUGAGAAUCCCGUAUUUGACCAUUAUUUUCAGCUGUGUGAUACACUUUCAAAGAGUCGGAUUGUUUGGGAAUGCAGUCCAAAAUGGGUGGUAAAUUUCAUCUAGAGCUAAAUAUUGGCGAGAGACCGAUAGCGAACAAGUACCGUGAGGGAAAGAUGAAAAGAACUUUGAAAAGAGAGUUAAACAGUACGUGAAAUUGUCAAAAGGGAAGCGUUUGACACCAGUGUUGUUUUCUCGAAAAUCAAUUAAAAAAAGUUGGAUUUUGUGUUGUAUUGACCUUAACAGCUUUCUGCACUCUUUUCCUACUUUUUUU